rnacentral:lncRNA from 1 species
ACCUGUUACAGAAAGAAAAUAGUUCAAAUCCUUGAUUUCCAGUAGUGUUGGGCGUCAUUAAAGAAAAACAUAUUUCAUCCAUUUGAAACACAUCUUUGCUAUUUAACUAAAUGAUCAAAUUCCAAUUCCGCACAAGGUUUGAGAUAUGAUAAUAUGAAGCAGACGUGUUACCACUUUUCUAAUAGUUAUGGAUGAAUUAGUUUAAUGUCAUGCACUCUCGCGUAUAGGAUUAAACAUAGAUUGGAAAGUAUCAGUAUACUCAAGAUUGCUCCCUCCAUCCAUUUCUCUGACAAGUAUUUCCGGACAGAGGGAGUACAUAAAUGUGAUAUCCAGUGGCAACUAAGUAUCCCAUUUAGGUUGGUAAGCCCAUAGUGCUGCCUUAAGAACUCCAAUCACCCAUUGGCCAAUUUCUUAGCACAGUUAACUAACUCAUGACUAGAACAUUCCAGUAGUGUUGGGCAUCAUUAAAGAAAAACAAUAUUUCAUCCAUUUGAAACACAUCUUUGCUAUUUAACUAAAUGAUCAAUUUCCAAUUCCGCACAAGGUUUGAGAUAUGAUCAUAUGAAGCAGACGUGUUACCACUUUUCUAAUAGUUAUGGAUGAAUUAGUUUAAUGUCAUGCACUCUCGCGUAUAGGAUUAAACAUAGAUUGAAAAGUAUCAGUAUACUCAAGAUUGUUCCCUCCGUCCAUUUCUCCGACAAGUAUUUCUGGACAGAGGGAGUACAUAAAUGUGAUAUCCAGUGGCAACUAAGUAUCCCAUUUAGGUUGGUAAGCCCAUAGUGCUGCCUUAAGAACUCCAAUCACCCAUUGGCCAAUUUCUUAGCACAGUUAACUAACUCAAGACUAGAACAUUCCUACUCCAUAACCACCACUUACUACAUUAACGAUUAACCCAAUCAACACCUAAUUGCAAAUGCAACAUCCGCACAGAAUACUGCACACCGAAGAAGCUGAGACGGCAAGAGCAGCUGGAUCCAAACCUG